rnacentral:piRNA from 1 species
AUUGGCACUGGGUUAGAGAAGGCCU